AUUGAACGCUGGCGGCAGGCUUAACACAUGCAAGUCGAACGAUGAUUAUCUAGCUUGCUAGUUAUGAUUAGUGGCGGACGGGUGAGUAACAUUUAGGAAUCUGCCUAGUAGUGGGGGAUAGCUCGGGGAAACUCGAAUUAAUACCGCAUACGACCUACGGGUGAAAGGGGGCGCAAGCUCUUGCUAUUAGAUGAGCCUAAAUCAGAUUAGCUAGUUGGUGGGGUAAGGGCCCACCAAGGCGACGAUCUGUAACUGGUCUGAGAGGAUGAUCAGUCACACCGGAACUGAGACACGGUCCGGACUCCUACGGGAGGCAGCAGUGGGGAAUAUUGGACAAUGGGGGCAACCCUGAUCCAGCCAUGCCGCGUGUGUGAAGAAGGCCUUUUGGUUGUAAAGCACUUUAAGCAGGGAGGAGAGGCUAAUGGUUAAUACCCAUUAGAUUAGACGUUACCUGCAGAAUAGGCACCGGCUAACUCUGUGCCAGCAGCCGCGGUAAUACAGAGGGUGCGAGCGUUAAUCGGAAUUACUGGGCGUAAAGCGAGUGUAGGUGGCUCAUUAAGUCACAUGUGAAAUCCCCGGGCUUAACCUGGGAACUGCAUGUGAUACUGGUGGUGCUAGAAUAUGUGAGAGGGAAGUAGAAUUCCAGGUGUAGCGGUGAAAUGCGUAGAGAUCUGGAGGAAUAUCGAUGGCGAAGGCAGCUUCCUGGCAUAAUAUUGACACUGAGAUUCGAAAGCGUGGGUAGCAAACAGGAUUAGAUACCCUGGUAGUCCACGCCGUAAACGAUGUCUACUAGCCGUUGGGGUCCUUGAGACUUUAGUGGCGCAGUUAACGCGAUAAGUAGACCGCCUGGGGAGUACGGCCGCAAGGUUAAAACUCAAAUGAAUUGACGGGGGCCCGCACAAGCGGUGGAGCAUGUGGUUUAAUUCGAUGCAACGCGAAGAACCUUACCUGGUCUUGACAUAGUGAGAAUCCUGCAGAGAUGCGGGAGUGCCUUCGGGAACUCACAUACAGGUGCUGCAUGGCUGUCGUCAGCUCGUGUCGUGAGAUGUUGGGUUAAGUCCCGCAACGAGCGCAACCCUUUUCCUUAUUUGCCAGCGGGUUAAGCCGGGAACUUUAAGGAUACUGCCAGUGACAAACUGGAGGAAGGCGGGGACGACGUCAAGUCAUCAUGGCCCUUACGACCAGGGCUACACACGUGCUACAAUGGUAGGUACAGAGGGUUGCUACACAGCGAUGUGAUGCUAAUCUCAAAAAGCCUAUCGUAGUCCGGAUUGGAGUCUGCAACUCGACUCCAUGAAGUCGGAAUCGCUAGUAAUCGCAGAUCAGAAUGCUGCGGUGAAUACGUUCCCGGGCCU
rnacentral:rRNA from 1 species